GACGAACCGUGCGAACGUUGUUCGGAUUCACUGGGCUUAAAGGGCGCGUAGGCGGGCCAUCAAGUCGGGGGUGAAAUCUUUCAGCUUAACUGGAAAAUAGCCUUCGAUACUGGUGGCCUGGAGGAAGGUAGGGGCAUGCGGAACUUCCGGUGGAGCGGUGAAAUGCGUAGAUAUCGGAAGGAACGCCGGUGGCGAAAGCGGCGUGCUGGACCUUUUCUGACGCUGAGGCGCGAAAGCCAGGGGAGCAAACGGG
rnacentral:rRNA from 1 species